rnacentral:rRNA from 1 species
GGGUCUGGCUGGCCGGUCCGCCUCACCGCGAGUACUGGUCCGGCUGGACCUUUCCUUCUGGGGAACCUCAUGGCCUUCACUGGCUGUGGGGGGAACCAGGACUUUUACUGUGAAAAAAUUAGAGUGUUCAAAGCAGGCCUUUGCUCGAAUACAUUAGCAUGGAAUAAUAGGAUAGGACGUGUGGUUCUAUUUUGUUGGUUUCUAGGACCGCCGUAAUGAUUAAUAGGGAUAGUCGGGGGCGUCAGUAUUCAGCUGUCAGAGGUGAAAUUCUUGGAUUUGCUGAAGACUAACUACUGCGAAAGCAUUCGCCAAGGAUGUUUUCAUUAAUCAGGCAACGAAAGUUAGGGGAUCGAAGACGAUCAGAUACCGUCGUAGUCUUAACCAUAAACUAUGCCGACUAGGGAUCGGACGGGAUUCUAUAAUGACCCGUUCGGCGCCUUA